rnacentral:rRNA from 1 species
UGAGGAAUAUUGGUCAAUGGGCGGAAGCCUGAACCAGCCAAGUAGCGUGCAGGAUGACGGCCCUAUGGGUUGUAAACUGCUUUUAUAUGGGGAUAAAGUUAGUUACGUGUAACUAUUUGCAGGUACCAUAUGAAUAAGGACCGGCUAAUUCCGUGCCAGCAGCCGCGGUAAUACGGAAGGUCCAGGCGUUAUCCGGAUUUAUUGGGUUGAAAGGGAGCGUAGGCUGUUUUUUAAGCGUGUUGUGAAAUGUAGAUGCUUAACAUCUGAAUUGCAGCGCGAACUGGAAGACUUGAGUGCGCGGAAGGUAGGCGGAAUUCGUCGUGUAGCGGUGAAAUGCGUAGAUAUGACGAAGAACUCCGAUUGCGAAGGCAGCUUGCCGCAGCGCCACUGACGCUGAUGCUCGAAGGUGCGGGUAUCGAACA